CAUAUACGGGGUUCAGCACCAUCCACAGUUUCUGGCGUCCACGUGGUGGGGGUAGGGGGUGCUUCUUGAAACCCUCAUGGAUGAGGGGGACUACUGUGAACCAAAAGCUUAAUUUAAAGAAGUGACCACAGACUAUAUUGCACUAUUCAGAAUUUAGUUAUCUUUUUGAAUUGUAAACAGAUAAUCAAGAACAAACAUUCCGGAAGAUGUUUCUUGUUUCCUUUGCUUUUGAUUUUCUUCUGAUGCUUCUUGGUGUCUUUUCUUGCUGCGGAUCCCACAGGGACACCUCCACAUCGCCCAGGUGCCACAGGGGGAGCAAGUCCAGAUCACGCAGGACAGCGAGGGCAACCUCCAGAUCCAUCACGUGGGGCAGGACGGUCAGGUGCUGCAGGGUGCACAGCUGAUCGCCGUGGCCUCCUCGGACCCCACGGCAGCAGGCGUGGAUGGGUCGCCACUCCAGGGCAGUGACAUCCAGGUUCAGUACGUGCAGCUGGCGCCAGUGAGUGACCACACGGCCGGGGCACAGACGGCCGAAGCCCUGCAGCCCACGCUACAGCCGGAGAUGCAGCUCGAGCACGGGGCCAUCCAGAUCCAGUGAGCGGUGCCCAUGGCACCAGGAGCCCCUCGCCGGCUCCGCCUACGGCCCGGCCCCCACGCGCCCUGCUCUCACGGCCUCGGCACAGGCAGCGGCUGCACGUGUUCUGCUGAAGUGCGUCUGAAGGCCGCUGCCUCCGCGGGGAACAUCCGCGGGGAACAGCAUCCUAUCAACUGAAAGAGCAGCCGCC
rnacentral:sRNA from 1 species